GUGAAGCCUGCGGUUCAAUUGGAGUCAACGCCAGAAAUCUUACCCGGAGAGACAGCAGAAUGAAGGUCAAGCUGAAGACUUUACCAGACAAGCUGAGAGGUGGUGCAUGGCCGUCGCCAGCUCGUGCCGUGAGAUGUCCUGUUAAGUCAGGUAACGAGCGAGAUCCCUGCCUCUAGUUGCCACCAUUACUCUCAGGAGUAGUGGGGCGAAUUAGCGGGACCGCCGCAGUUAAUGCGGAGGAAGGAAGGGGCCACGGCAGGUCAGUAUGCCCCGAAACUCUGGGGCCACACGCGGGCUGCAAUGGUAACGACAAUUGGUUUCGAAUCCGAAAGGAUGAGGUAAUCCUCAAACGUUACCACAGUUAUGACUGAGGGCUGCAACUCGCCCUCACGAAUAUGGAAUCCCUAGUAACUGCGUGUCAUUAUCGCGCGGUGAAUACGUCCCUGCUCCUUGUACACACCGCCC
rnacentral:rRNA from 1 species